rnacentral:rRNA from 1 species
GACGAACGCUGGCGGCGUGCCUAAUACAUGCAAGUAGAACGCUGAAACUUGGUGCUUGCACCGAGCGGAUGAGUUGCGAACGGGUGAGUAACGCGUAGGUAACCUGCCUGGUAGCGGGGGAUAACUAUUGGAAACGAUAGCUAAUACCGCAUAAGAGUAGAUGUUGCAUGACAUUUGCUUAAAAGGUGCAAUUGCACCACUACCAGAUGGACCUGCGUUGUAUUAGCUAGUUGGUGGGGUAACGGCUCACCAAGGCGACGAUACAUAGCCGACCUGAGAGGGUGAUCGGCCACACUGGGACUGAGACACGGCCCAGACUCCUACGGGAGGCAGCAGUGGGGAAUCUUCGGCAAUGGACGGAAGUCUGACCGAGCAACGCCGCGUGAGUGAAGAAGGUUUUCGGAUCGUAAAGCUCUGUUGUAAGAGAAGAACGAGUGUGAGAGUGGAAAGUUCACACUGUGACGGUAUCUUACCAGAAAGGGACGGCUAACUACGUG